AACGAACGCUGGCGGCAUGCCUAACACAUGCAAGUCGAACGAGACCUUCGGGUCUAGUGGCGCACGGGUGCGUAACGCGUGGGAAUCUACCCUCAGGUUCGGAAUAACUCAGAGAAAUUUGAGCUAAUACCGGAUGAUGACGUAAGUCCAAAGAUUUAUCGCCUGAGGAUGAGCCCGCGUAGGAUUAGGUAGUUGGUGAGGUAAAGGCUCACCAAGCCGACGAUCCUUAGCUGGUCUGAGAGGAUGAUCAGCCACACUGGGACUGAGACACGGCCCAGACUCCUACGAGAGGCAGCAGUGGGGAAUAUUGGACAAUGGGCGAAAGCCUGAUCCAGCAAUGCCGCGUGAGUGAUGAAGGCCUUAGGGUUGUAAAGCUCUUUUACCCGGGAUGAUAAUGACAGUACCGGGAGAAUAAGCUCCGGCUAACUCCGUG
rnacentral:rRNA from 1 species